UGGAAUGUUGUGAAGUAUGU
rnacentral:miRNA from 2 species